AUUGAACGCUGGCGGCAGGCCUAACACAUGCAAGUCGAGCGGAUGAGAGGAGCUUGCUUCUCGAUUCAGCGGCGGACGGGUGAGUAAUGCCUAGGAAUCUGCCUGGUAGUGGGGGACAACGUUUCGAAAGGAACGCUAAUACCGCAUACGUCCUACGGGAGAAAGCAGGGGACCUUCGGGCCUUGCGCUAUCAGAUGAGCCUAGGUCGGAUUAGCUAGUUGGUGAGGUAAUGGCUCACCAAGGCGACGAUCCGUAACUGGUCUGAGAGGAUGAUCAGUCACAAUGGAACUGAGACACGGUCCAGACUCCUACGGGAGGCAGCAGUGGGGAAUAUUGGACAAUGGGCGAAAGCCUGAUCCAGCCAUGCCGCGUGUGUGAAGAAGGUCUUCGGACUGUAAAGCACUUUAAGUUGGGAGGAAGGGUUGUAGAUUAAUACUCUGCAAUUUUGACGUUACCGACAGAAUAAGCACCGGCUAACUCUGUGCCAGCCGCCGCAGUAAAAC
rnacentral:rRNA from 1 species